rnacentral:rRNA from 1 species
UACGAAGGGGGCUAGCGUUGCUCGGAAUUACUGGGCGUAAAGCGCACGUAGGCGGCUUUCUAAGUCGGGGGUGAAAUCCUGGAGCUCAACUCCAGAACUGCCUUCGAUACUGGAGAGCUUGAGUCCGGGAGAGGUGAGUGGAACUGCGAGUGUAGAGGUGAAAUUCGUAGAAUAUUCGCAAGAACACCAGUGGCGAAAGGCGGCUCAGCUGG